CAUGGUUCGAAAUUGAAAGGCGGCUUCGGCUGUCACUUAUGGAUGGACCCGCGUCGCAUUAGCUAGUUGGUGAGGUAACGGCUCACCAAGGCAACGAUGCGUAGCCGACCUGAGAGGGUGAUCGGCCACACUGGGACUGAGACACGGCCCAGACUCCUACGGGAGGCAGCAGUAGGGAAUCUUCCGCAAUGGACGAAAGUCUGACGGAGCAACGCCGCGUGAGUGAUGAAGGCUUUCGGGUCGUAAAACUCUGUUGUUAGGGAAGAACAAGUGCUAGUU
rnacentral:rRNA from 1 species